rnacentral:rRNA from 1 species
AUUGAACGCUGGCGGCAUGCCUUACACAUGCAAGUCGAACGGCAGCACGGGAGCAAUCCUGGUGGCGAGUGGCGAACGGGUGAGUAAUAUAUCGGAACGUGCCCAGUCGUGGGGAUAACGUAGCGAAAGCUACGCUAAUACCGCAUACGAUCUAUGGAUGAAAGCGGGGGAUCGCAAGACCUCGCGCGAUUGGAGCGGCCGAUAUCAGAUUAGGUAGUUGGUGAGGUAAAGGCUCACCAAGCCGACAAUCUGUAGCUGGUCUGAGAGGACGACCAGCCACACUGGGACUGAGACACGGCCCAGACUCCUACGGGAGGCAGCAGUGGGGAAUUUUGGACAAUGGGCGCAAGCCUGAUCCAGCAAUGCCGCGUGCAGGAUGAAGGCCUCGGUUGUAAC